rnacentral:rRNA from 1 species
UACGUAGGGGGCUAGCGUUGUCCGGAUUUAUUGGGCGUAAAGAGCGUGUAGGCGGCCAGGUAGGUCUGCUGUGAAAACUCGAGGCUCAACCUCGAGACGUCGGCGGAAACCAUCUGGCUAGAGUCCGGAAGAGGAGAGUGGAAUUCCUGGUGUAGCGGUGAAAUGCGCAGAUAUCAGGAAGAACACCGGUGGCGAAGGCGGAUCUCUGGGCCUUACCUGACGCUCAGGCGCGAAAGCUAGGGGAGCGAACUGG